UGAGACCACCAGAGAGGAGGAAUAAAACAAAGAGGAGGAGGAGGAGGGGGAUAGUGAGGACAAUGAAGAUCCAGAAGCUGCAGAGCUGUAAAAGGACUGGAGAAAGAAACAGGGAUUAUAGAGGAUGGAAGGGGCAUGGAAGCAGUAUGUGUGAUUGUUAGGAGAUGAAGUUGAGCAGGGGGACGUUAUAGUAAUGGGGAUGAUGAUAGUUAACUAUAGAUGCAUGUUCUGGACUGUCAAAUGAAAUGUACUGGUCUUAAGACAAGACAAUUACAUCACCUCAAGCAACAUUUCCAAGGUCACUGGAAAAAGCUAAGCAUAAGCACCUGUUUAAUAUGCUUAAAAGACAUAUGACUUCAUUGUCUAUUGAUUGAGGAAGUACUUGGGCCACACCUUGAUUAUGCUUGAUCUUCACUACAUCUUCAAUGAGCAGUGGCCCCUAGAAUGUAGGUUUGGCGGAUCUCUUCCGGUGGGCUUUAAACUCAGCUCGUCGGGGGACGGGGAAGAGGAGGGCGGAGGAAGCCUUGGACCAAUAAACCAAAAGACACCAACAAGAACAGCCCAGCCUGGACCAAUGACGAGCAGAAUGAAUACCCAGCAAGUGAGACUAGAGGGCACCUGAACCCUUGAAGUAUUACAGUAUUGCAUCCAGUUCUGGGCACCACACUUCAAGAAGGAUGUGGAGAAGCUCAAGAGAGUCCAAAGGAGGGCCACACACGUGAAUACAGGCCUAGAGACCAGGGACUUCAUGUAAGGACUACACAAAGAGAAAAUUAGGAGAAAAUAGCACAAAUCCUUCUAAAAGAAUCAAACAAUCAGACAAUGGUAUUCUCACCACCUAAUGAGCAAAGUGCUAUGCCCAGAUGCUUAGGUAGGAAAUAGAGAAAAGUUGUAGAGCUAAUUACUUGUUUCUAAAGUGGAGUUAAAACAUUCAGCAGCUCUCAACAAUUUUGUCUAGUGGCUUAAGUAGUGCUUUGUAAAGAAGUGUAAAUGGAGAAGCUUACCUAUCACAGUUCAAACUAUUAGUAAUAUGGCUAUCAGUGACCCACUUAAAAUGAAUGUUUUUUUCUUUGUCUUAGCUGAUACCCCCAACUGACAACCUGCAUUAAGCCUAUUGGAGUCUAAUGCCCCCAGUUCUGUCAGCAGAAAGCUGCUUACCAGAUCUGGGCCUUUAACUAUACGCUGUUUUGGAACAGGAACUGCCUUGGUAUGUUUGCAUAGCACAUAGUACUGUAGUGGACUGACCAAUGUCACACCUGGAGUUUGUGUGUGUCAGUUUUCACUUAUGUCAGCCUGGCACCUUUACUGAGCAUCAGGUCAUGGGGGAGGGAAAGGGGUGCAACUGAAAAGUGUUAACAAAUCCUGUGCAAUGGGACUCAUUGAACUACAAGCUAUGCUCUGGAAUGGAAAUGCACCUCAGUGGGCACGUCUACACAAGAUGCUACAUUGCCAUAGCAAUGAGCUGCUAUGAUGUAGUGUUGCCAGGCACAAACUGUGAUGCUGACACUAUUGCAAAGUAGCAGCUAAAAAAAACUAUGUUUAAGUAGGCUGAAGCAGUCUACUGCAUGUGUAGACACACCCACUGUGUAUGAUGAUGGGCAGGAUACACUGUCAUUAUCUUAUUAGAGAAAUUUUCAUUGUUAUGGAAUUAAAGCAGGCCACUGUUACCUCCUAUAGUAGAAGACAGUGGAACCAGUUCUUUAAAAAUAAGUAUGUGCUUAAAUGCACUACUUAAUUGGGACCUUAGACAGCCACAUGUAAAAUCUGUUUGCACAAUUCAGAUCUGUCUUAGAGCUGGGGUUAUGGGGGUUCUUUAAACCUUGCUCCCUUUCUUCAUGUUUUGUUCUGUGGAGCAAAAGACCAAAGGUGUAUUGGGUUUGGUUAAGCAUUGAAAGGCUAGAUCCACAGGGGGAUUUAGGCAGUGAACUGCUACAUUUAGCCCUGAACCCCAACAUUUCAGAGCCCCUGAUGUCCUUGGCCCUCUUCUGCUCAGCUGCUACUUGUGCACCUGAGUUUCUGCUACUGGGUACAUUCAGAACCACUCAAGUUUAGACACUGCCACGCUUAGGCCGAACCCCGCCUGGAAUUUUCCAGCAGCCACUGUUCCUUGCCUGCAGGGCUCCAUGCAGUAAGCACUUUAAGAGCAUGCUGUGCAGAAAAGACAGCCAUGGAGGUAUCAUGUGUGUGAUAUGGGGUGUGCACACACUACUUAUUCUCCUUGUUUCCCUCUUACAGCCCUAUGAUUACUGUGCUGACUAGAGAAGUGAUAGCCUUAUUUUCAACCUCUUUGCUUGGUUUGAAGCAGGGCACUAUUGUUGUGCACUAUUUUAACUUUAAAAAAAAUAAAUACUUAAAAUUAUUUUUCUUCUCCAGUGCUUGCUAGCUAAUGUACAGAACACCAUGGUGUUUCUUCUAAGAGACUGUUAAGUCCUCUAAUUCUGAACCCAAGGUCAGUAGAUAGAAACUGAAGAAUCCAGAAGGAAACACUGCAUAAAGCAGCAAUCAGAAAAAACUUUCUACUUCUAGUAUAGUGUAGCUUUGUGCAUUUGACCUUUGCCUCUGAAAUGCAAGCUCAAACUGGCAAGGGAAAAUGAACAAUAGCAGGCUCUCUCCUGUUCAUCACUCGCAUAUCCAGGACUACAACUUCUAAAGCCAUUCAAAUCAAUGACAUGACUGGUUCUAAAUAUGAUUUGUGUUCAUAAAACAUGGUCAAUAAGGAUGACAGCUAUCGGUGUUUCACCUUCUCCAGCAAAAUGAGUAUCAAACGCACAUCCUUCUGUAAGUAGGAUGUGACACUUGUUAAGUUAAAUAAUACCUAUAUGCAGUGUUUAUUUUAUGCCAUUUUAUAUGUUUUGGACACAUUAUUCCUUGGUCAGGUACUAGAGGCGAUACAUCCAUUUUCCCACAACGCACUGUGAAAGUGUAAAGAGUAAUGUGAAUGUCAACCAACUGGAUUCCUUAAGCAUGGUGAAUAUUGUAAAUGUAGUCUUUACAUUUGCUGCAAAUGAAACACUGGUUUGUGCACCUGAUUUCUGCUCUUUGCAUAACACUAGGUUUGUUGCAUCGGUAAGUUUGUUGGCAGGAGCUGAGAGAGUGCCUUUGUCUGUUCUGUGGUUGCUAACGAUCACACCCCUUUCAAAAAUGCAUACUUGAUUACAUUCUACAAUUAAAAAAACUGUACACUAGA